CAGAUUCUACAGAUUGGCCUCUGAGCCCUAUCAUGUUGGCUCUAAGAAUAACAGCACUGAUCCUAAUGAUUGUAAUCACUGUUCUUGUCAUCAGACAGAGUGAACACAAAACCACUUGAUGACGACAAUGUGCAUCAGGAUGGCGACCAAAUCAAUUAUGAAACUGUAGAAGCACGUCCUGCUACUACUAGACUGCACUGAUCAACAACUUCCACACCAACGUCAGCUCACCAGAAAGUCAAAUAUCAUCACAGUCAUUUUCCACAUGGACAACAAUACAGGCAAAAAGUUAUCCUCCCAACCAUCAAUGCUUUUUUAAUGUAAUCUGUAACCUCACAAACUAAUGUUAGUUGAUGAUGUGCUCUUUGGCCUUUCAAUUAACGCUUGAGUAAAUCAUACUUUUCCAACCCUGAGACAAGAGAAUGAAUGACUGAGUGAAAACUGAAGAACAUGAGUUUAUGCCAGAGAUUCAAACAAGUUCACGUCAGAGGGCCAAAUUAUUAUUCAGGUUAUUAUUAAGUCUUCCCUGAGGAUUAACUGCAAAAUAUGUUGCAGUG